AGAGAUAAGACAUUUACAUAAGUUUUGUUAGAGUGUAUUGUUAAACUUAUUCUAUUAUUAGUUACUAAUUAUUAAUUAUUAUUAAUUUAUUAAUAGUUAUUGUUGCUAAUCUCUUAGUAUGCUUAACUUAUGAAUUAAACUUUAUCAUAGGUAUGUAUGUACAGAAAAUAACCCAUGGAGGGAAUAGGGUUCAGUAUUGUCCCUGAUUUCAGGCAUGUGCUGGGAAUUUCGGAAUCUUGGAACAUAUCCCCUGUGGAUAAGGGAGGACUACCGCAUUAGGACUGUUUGAGUUGCAAGCCAACUUUAUGAGCUGAAUAUUUUCCUGAAACACUGGCAGCGUGAUUUCUCCCAACCAUGUGUCUCCAUCCCAAACUGAAAAGACCAUUUUCCUGAGGCAGCUAUUCAAAACUGCGGCCAGCUUGACCGCUUUUCUUGAAUUGAGUUACGAACAGAUUGGUCAGAAAGCGAUACCUGUUUGAGCUGACUGAUUAUUAACCAAGAGUCAAAUUAUGUGCCUAGACAAAGUGUGAGUUAUGGGAAGAACCCAGUCUCUCUCUCUCUCCUUUAGGUCAGAGUAAAGGGAACCAUUGACUUCACUGUAGUUUUGGAUUAUGCAGGGAAUGGUCAGGGUUGUUUUGGAAUCCCAAAGAUCUACUUUCAAACUUUGGUCCUACUGAGGUAGCUGCGUGAGUUUGGACCAUCUGUGUGCCUACAAACAUCUAGAGAGACAUCAGCAGAUCCCCGUAAUGGCUACAACACUGCCUGGCCUUUCAUCCCUGAAUGAAAACUCCAAACUCUGCCAGGACUGCAAAUCGUCUUCCUCACAAACACGAGCUACCUGAAAGUCUUACGAUACAUUUUGUAUUCUCAGCGGCAAGUUAUAGACCUACAGCAAUUACUCGCAUAUGCAUUUUUAUGCAUUUGUCUGAAUGUUUACGACGGCAUGUUCAAUUAUGUUCUACAAACACUAAUUUUGAGGAAUGCUAACAAUUUUAGUACAUUUGUUAAGCACCUAGUAUGUGCUUUACAUGAAUUUUCUCAUCAAAUGCUCACAAGUGGUAUUAGCAUUAUUUCCAUUUUAUGGAUGAGGGAAGUGAGGAUUUGAGAGGUGGCAUGACAUGGCUAAGCAGUUGAACUGGACUUUGAAUCCCACAGCCUGACUCUGGAGAUCACACCCUUAAAUGGUACAGCAUAACUGUUAGGUAAAAAAGGAUGUUGGGGUCAAUGAAUUUGGAAAUACAAAGCUAAACUAAAUUGAAAAACUUCUUUCUUGCACAAUUUCUCAGUCAGUCAUUGAGUCUCUAAGGUGAAAUAUAACACACAGUAUUUCCUAAACUUACCAAACCCCAUCGAUCACUCAAGUGCUUGGAGCAUGAGCGCCUAGUUUCAGAUGCCAGUUUUGCCACUUGCUAUGUUUGUAACCCUCAGCAAGUGAUUUAACUUCUUAUUAAGUUACUUACUCACCCAAAGAAGAUUGAACUAUAUUUAGCAAAUUGUACCUACCAAGACAGAAGAAUGGCCAACAUGUCUCUGAGUAAAUUUUCAGAAAGACUGGAAAUGGGAUUUUUCAUUAAUAUUCAGGUUAGUGAAUGAGAAAUAUUUAACUAACCGGAGUGUCUUUUUUUUUAGAACAGUUUAAUUAACCAGUGUUUGACUUUUUCCUGAGACCUUUCUGAUUUAAAGUUUUUCUAUCUUUUAAAGUUUUUCAGGUAUUUACAUUAAA